GACUUGAGGUGCCGCCGGAAGGCGGCCGAACAGGGAAGCGGGGUGCAAAUCCCCAGCGGAGCCGCCGCCGUAAUGGAAGAGCCCGUUUUCAUGAUGCCACUGGAGCAGUCCGGGAAGGCGAAAACGGACGGGGACGCCUGAGCCGGAAGACCUGCCUCGAGUG
rnacentral:ncRNA from 1 species